rnacentral:rRNA from 1 species
UACAGAGGGUGCGAGCGUUAAUCGGAAUUACUGGGCGUAAAGCGCACGUAGUCGGCUUUGCAAGUCGGGUGUGAAAUCCCCGGGCUCAACCUGGGAACUGCAUCCGAGACUGCAUUGCUAGAGUAUGGGAGAGGGAAGCGGAAUUUCUGGUGUAGCAGUGAAAUGCGUAGAUAUCAGAAGGAACAUCAGUGGCGAAGGCGGCUUCUUGGCCUGUUCUUGACGCUGAGGCGCGAAAGCUGGGGGAGCAAACGGG